GUAUAUUAAUUUAAUAAUAUCAAACAUAUUUGUGUAUAUCCACAUAAUUUCUCCCCAUUAUUAAUAUUCUGUUUGCCAACAUCUUUUCAACCAAAAACCGAACCAAUAAAACUACCCAGAAAAUCCUUUAAAAACCAAACCACCACCCAGCAAAAAGGACUACACCAAGGACCUUUUUCUCUCUGGCAAAUUGAGGUAGUAGGUUGUAUAGUAGUAACUACAAAUCAUACUAUACAAUGUGCUAGCUUUCUUUGCUUGACUACAAGCCGCAAUUGCUUAAAACUCCCAAUCGAUCUGCACCAUCAACAUAAUCCAUUCCCAGCCAUACAAAAGUUGGUGGUGCAAGCAAAAUUGAUUGUGGACAACAAGAAUAGUGUUCUGAGCCAGACUUUCGUUGAAUUUCUUUACGAAUGCCUUGGAUAUGUAAAUGCAACCGGGCAUAUGUAAAUAUUGGCAUUAGUGACAUGUGCAAAUGUUUGUAUGGCUGAUUCCCUGAGACCCUAACUUGUGACUUUUAAUACCAGUUUCACAAGUUUUGAUCUCCGGUAUUGGACGCAAACUUGCUGAUGUUAGUAAAAAAAAAAACAACAAGGGCAAAAACAAAAACAACAACUGAUCGACGGGAGUAAAAUCGGAAGUACAGAAAAAAUUUUUAAAAGAAAUAUGCGGUUCUGCUGGUUAUGUAUGAGUGGACAAGAUUAAAGCUUUUGAGGAAUAACUAUGGGACCUGAUAGUACUGGCACUUUACAUAAGUCGAAGUUCCUAAAAAGUGGAUAUGUAUUUAGCAGGACGCGAAUAAUGUUUUAAGCUAAUUUACUUCUUAAUUCACAUUAUAACCUUCUUAAUUGCUGUUUGUUGUAUAUAUAUCCAAUUAAAAACCAAAAUCUUAACAAUAAUAUCACAGCGUUACCAGUGUACAUAAUUUGUAUUUAGAAAACUAUUUGUUAUUUAUGUCUCUUUGUUUUUUUACUUUGCUAGAAUAUUAAUCAUAGAAUAGAAUAGUUUAAUCAUAUUUCGAUAAUUAGAAGCCUACUUCUUAUCUUUUUAAGUUGAAAUACUUAAUUUGUAAAAAUAAGUGAGUUUUAAGCAAUAUUUCCGCACUCGCGAAUUAGAAUUUGUACCCAUAUAUAUCAAAUAAUUUAAUUUUUGUUUUUCCAAAUUCCAAAAAAAAAAAACAAACACAUAUUAAAAUGUUUACCUAUAAAAAAAUCUUUAUUGUAAACCCAAUGACGUGAUCUAUUAAAACCAUCACUGAAACCACACAGUAAACUAUAUAUAAACUACUUCUAAGUUCUAGAGAUACAAUGUGAGAGAGUUUUGAAUAAAUCGAUAAAAGGUAUGAUUUUGAUCUGAACAAUUUCAUUGUCAAGAGAGUUUAAAACAUA